rnacentral:rRNA from 1 species
AGUGAACGCUGGCGGUAGGCCUAACACAUGCAAGUCGAACGGCAGCACAGUAAGAGCUUGCUCUUACGGGUGGCGAGUGGCGGACGGGUGAGGAAUACAUCGGAAUCUACUUUUUCGUGGGGGAUAACGUAGGGAAACUUACGCUAAUACCGCAUACGACCUACGGGUGAAAGCAGGGGAUCUUCGGACCUUGCGCGAUUGAAUGAGCCGCUGUCGGAUUAGCUAGUUGGCGGGGUAAAGGCCCACCAAGGCGACGAUCCGUAGCUGGUCUGAGAGGAUGAUCAGCCACACUGGAACUGAGACACGGUCCAGACUCCUACGGGAGGCAGCAGUGGGGAAUAUUGGACAAUGGGCGCAAGCCUGAUCCAGCCAUACCGCGUGGGUGAAGAAGGCCUUCGGGUUGUAAAGCCCUUUUGUUGGGAAAGAAAAGCAGCAGGUUAAUACCCCGCUGUCCUGACGGUACCCAAAGAAUAAGCACCGGCUAACUUCGUG